GUAGGUGGCAAGCGUUGUCCGGAAUUAUUGGGGCGUAAAGCGCGCGCAGGCGGUUCUUUAAGUCUGAUGUGAAAGCCCACGGGCUCAACCGUGGAGGGCCAUUGGAAACUGGAGAACUUGAGUACAGAAGAGGAAAGCGGAAUUUCACGUGUAGCGGUGAAAUGCGUAGAGAUGUGGAGGAACACCAGUGGCGAAGGCGGCUUUCUGGUCUGUAACUGACGCUGAGGCGCGAAAGCGUGGGGAGCAAACAGGAUUAGAUACCCUGGUAGUCCACGCCGUAAACGAUGAGUGCUAAGUGUUAGGGGGUUUCCGCCCCUUAGUGCUGCAGCUAACGCAUUAAGCACUCCGCCUGGGGAGUACGGCCGCAAAGGCUG
rnacentral:rRNA from 1 species